rnacentral:ncRNA from 1 species
UAUAAGCCGUUGAAAAAGCAAAGUAUGUAAAAAUAAAAUAUAUUAUAGAGAAAAUGGGGUAGCUGAAAACCAUUAUAUAUUUUUUACAGAAAUUUCACUUUUUAGGUUUUACCUUGAAUAACAGUAGAGGUAAACGAUUGCUACGUUAUAGCUAUAGAGGUUAAUUAUUUAAUUAAUAAAAUUAGGUGGUACCACGAGCCAGUUCGUCCUAACA